rnacentral:rRNA from 1 species
UAUCUCUGUAGAGUCUGCAUAUCAAUAAGCGGAGGAAAAGAAACUAACAAGGAUUCCCUUAGUAACGGCGAGUGAAGCGGGAAGAGCUCAAAUUUGAAAUCUUCAAGGCUUUUACCUUGACGAAUUGUAGUUUAAAGAAGUGUUUUCUGUUGAAGUUUUCGGUAAAAGUUCUUUGGAAUAGGACAUCAUAGAGGGUGAGAAUCCCGUAUUUGACCGUUAUUUUCAGCUGUGUGAUACACUUUCAAAGAGUCGGAUUGUUUGGGAAUGCAGUCCAAAAUGGGUGGUAAAUUUCAUCUAAAGCUAAAUAUUGGCGAUGAGACCGAUAGCGAACAAGUACCGUGAGGGAAAGAUGAAAAGAACUUUGAAAAGAGAGUUAAACAGUACGUGAAAUUGUCAAAAGGGAAGCGUUUGACACCAGUGUUGUUUUCUCGAAAAUCAAUUAAAAAUGGCUUGAUUUUGUGUUGUAUUGACCUUAAAAGCUUUCUUCACUUUUUUCAUGUCUUUUUUAAUGCACUUUUCGUUUAACAAGUCAACAUUAGUUUCUUUUGUUGUAAAAAGGUCAUUGGAAGGUGGCUUUCUUUUCGGAGAAAGUGUUUAUAGCCUUUGACUUCUGCAAUCGGAGAGACUGAGGUCUGCAGCGUAGAUCCUUCUGGAUUAGAUUCAUUUGUGCUAAGUUACAACCGUUUAUAGACAACUUGUUGACUAUAUUCGAUCCUGUAGCUUACUCGCUUAUGUAAUUUUACCUACGCUUAGGAUGUUGAUAUGCAUGACUGAUAU